CCUACGGGAGGCAGCAGUGAGGAAUAUUGGUCAAUGGACGCAAGCCUGAACCAGCCAUGUCGCGUGCAGGAAGACGGCCCUACGAGUUGUAAACUGCUUUUGUACGGGGGUAAACGCAGACACGCGUGCCUGUCUGUAUGUACCGUACGAAUAAGGAUCGGCUAACUCCGUGCCAGCAGCCGCGGUAAUACGGAGGAUUCGAGCGUUAUCCGGAUUUAUUGGGGUUAAAGGGAGCGUAGGCGGGUUGUUAAGUCAGAUGUGAAAUUUUGCGGCUCAACCGCGGAAUUGACUUUGAUACUGGCCGUCUAGAGAGCAGUUGAGGUAGGCGGAAUGUGUGGUGUAGCGGUGAAAUGCUUAGAGAUCACGCAGAACACCGAUUGCGAAGGCAGCUUACUAAGCUGCUACUGACGUUGAGGCACGAAAGUGUGGGUAGCAAACAGGAUUAGAUACCCGAGUAGUC
rnacentral:rRNA from 1 species